GCGGCGGCGGGGCAGGCCCGAGCCGGGCUCCCGCAGCCAGGGUGGGAGGAGGAGAGGCCGCGCGGCGCGGGUGAGUGCCCAGGUUCAUUCAUGCAGAGGGCAUUUAUUGGUGUCUGCAGUACUGCACAAGGUUGCAAAGGAAAUGGAAGAGCUGCUCCCUGCAGGUCAGGAGUUUGCAGUCUAAUUGGGAACACACGGCAUAAUGUGUAUCCACGAAACAGCCAGAAAAUGAUCCCCACUUGUGAUAUAAGCAAGAGGAGGUUGGGGGUAUUUUUUUCAUAAGAAGGGCUUUGUAUUCGUGUGAUUGGGGAUUAGGAGACAAAAUGUAAGCCCCAAUGAAGACAAGAGUGCCUCAAAGUACCCCUGUUAUACGGAACAAUAUAAAUGGGACCUCAGUGUCACUUGGCGGAAGUAUCAGCCCUGCCAUUUACAAACUGUUUUGACCUUGGGCACGUUUUUAAUCCAAGAAGGGAAUAAAGGCUGUCUCAUGAG